rnacentral:sRNA from 1 species
UCAUCACCAUCAUCAUCCCUAAGUUAUCUUUCGGGAGGUGAGCGCAUACCCGGGAGAUAAAAUUCUCCCGGAGGUGAAAUGAAAAAUUCAAUGAACCCUCGGGAGUAAUUCCGAGGGUUUUUUUAU